rnacentral:rRNA from 1 species
GUCUAUAUGAAGUUGUAUGUGGUUUAGCCUGCCCACUGAGAUAUUUAAAGGCCGCAGUAUCCUAACUGUGCAAAGGUAGCAUAAUAAUUUGUUUUUUAAUUGGAAGCUUGAAUGAAUGGUUGGACGAAGAAGAGUCUGUUUCUAGUUUAGAUUUAAAACUUUACUUUUAAGUUAAAAGGCUUAAAUAUUUUUAAAAGACGAUAAGACCCUAUAAAACUUUAUAAAAAUUUUUUAUUUGUUUUUUUCUUAUGUGCUAAAACCAAAAAUAUUAGUUUUUAUUGUGUUGGGGAGACAGGAAUAAAAGUAACAUUGAACUGUUCUUAUUUUAAGACAAAGAUGAUUGGAGAUAGAAAAGAUCUUCUACUUAGAGAUUAAAAGUUAAAGUUACUUUAGGGAUAACAGCGUAAUUUUUUUAGAGAGUUCUAAUCGAAAAAAAAGUUUGCGACCUCGAUGUUGAAUUAAAAUUUCUUUUUGGUGAAGCAGUUAAAAAAGUAAGUCUGUUCGACUUUUAAAAUUUU